CCUACGGGUGGCAGCAGUCGAGAAUCAUUCACAAUGGGGGAAACCCUGAUGGUGCGACGCCGCGUGGGGGAAUGAAGGUCUUCGGAUUGUAAACCCCUGUCAUGUGGGAGCAAAUUAAAAAGAUAGUACCACAAGAGGAAGAGACGGCUAACUCUGUGCCAGCAGCCGCGGUAAUACAGAGGUCUCAAGCGGUGUUCGGAAUCACUGGGCGUAAAGCGUGCGUAGGCUGUUUCGUAAGUCGUGUGUGAAAGGCGCGGGCUCAACCCGCGGACGGCACAUGAUAAUGGGAGAAUAGAGGAAUGGAGGGGGAACCGGAAUUCUCGGUGUAGCAGUGAAAUGCGUAGAUAUCGAGAGGAACACUCGUGGCGAAGGCGGGUUCCUGGACAUUAACUGACGCUGAGGCACGAAGGCCAGGGGAGCGAAAGGGAUUAGAUACCCUGGUAGUC
rnacentral:rRNA from 1 species